AUUGAACGCUGGCGGCAGGCCUAACACAUGCAAGUCGAGCGGAGCGGCGGACGGGCGAGUAAUGCCUAGGAAUCUGCCUGGUCGCGGGGGAUAACGUCCGGAAAGGGGCGCUAAUACCGCAUACUAUCAGAUUAGCCUAGGUCGGUUUGGCUAGUUGGUGGGGUAAAGGCCUACCAAGGCGACGAUCCGUAACUGGUCUGAGAGGAUGUUCAGUCACACUGGAACGGAGACACGGUCCAGACUCCUACGGGAGGCAGCAGUGGGGAAUAGUGGACAAUGGUCGAAAUCCUGAUCCAGCCAUGCCGCGUGUGUGAAGAAGGUCUUCGGAUUGUAAAGCACUUUAAGUUGGGAGGCGUUACCAACAGAAUAAGCACCGGCUAACUUCGUGCCAGCAGCCGCGGUAAUUC
rnacentral:rRNA from 1 species